GUAGUCGUGACUUUCUAUGCUAACAUGCCCAAGUUGCAGAAAUGGCAGACUACAGACGGUCCACUGGCUUUGUGAGGGAGCUGUCAUGACUUUUAGUACCUUGAGCCAUUUGCUUGGUAGAAGUAAAGGGAUCAAUAAAACACCCUGGUGCUGGGCUGUGGCCAGAUUGUCACAUUUUUAUUCAAGGGAUGCUGCAGUGUCCUUGUAAAAUAAUAAAGUUAUUCUAAACUAA